rnacentral:tmRNA from 1 species
AUGUAGUACCAAUGAUGAAAGGUUUUCGGACGCGGGUUCAACUCCCGCCAGCUCCACCA